UGAGGAAUAUUGCGCAAUGGGGGCAACCCUGACGCAGCGACGCCGCGUGAGUGAGGAAGGCCUUCGGGUCGUAAAGCUCUGUCAAAGGGAAAGAAAUGUAUAAUGGCUAAUACCUGUUAUAUUUGACGGUACCCUUAAAGGAAGCACCGGCUAACUCCGUGCCAGCAGCCGCGGUAAUACGGAGGGUGCAAGCGUUGUUCGGAAUCACUGGGCGUAAAGGGCGCGCAGGCGGUUUAGUAAGUCAGAUGUGAAAGCCCACGGCUUAACCGUGGAAGUGCAUUUGAAACUGCCAGACUUGAGUACCAGAGGGGAAAGUGGAAUUCCCGGUGUAGAGGUGAAAUUCGUAGAUAUCGGGAGGAAUACCGGUGGCGAAGGCGACUUUCUGGCUGGAUACUGACGCUGAGGCGCGAAAGCGUGGGGAGCAAACA
rnacentral:rRNA from 1 species